rnacentral:rRNA from 1 species
CACGUAGGGGGGCAAGCGUUGUCCGGAUUUAUUGGGCGUAAAGAGCUCGUAGGCGGUUCGGUAAGUCGGGUGUGAAACCUCCAGGCUCAACCUGGAGACGCCACCCGAUACUGCUGUGACUAGAGUCCGGUAGGGGAGCGUGGAAUUCCUGGUGUAGCGGUGAAAUGCGCAGAUAUCAGGAGGAACACCGCGGCGAAGGCG